AAAUCGGCAAUCCUCUGUCUUUGAAACGCCGUUUAAACUGGCUGUUUUCGACGAACCUCCCUAUCUAGGACAAAGAUUUCUAAUGGAUUCUGACGUUUGCAGAGGUCGCGAGAACACGAUUAAGGGAAGAAGGGACAAAGUACCGAGCGUUCUGGCAAACUCUGAGAACGGUGGUCGCCGAAGAAGGGCCAAACGGGUUGUACCGUGGACUGGGCACUCAUCUGAUCAGGCAGAUUCCGAACACGGCCAUCAUAAUGGCGACCUACGAAGCUGUCGUGUACAUUCUGAGUAGACACUUUCAUCAGCGCACCAGUGGAAGAAACAGCAUCGCCAGUAACACCGGAUCGCAGUUCUACGCGGAAGCGAAGGCGAAACGAGAGCUGGCCUAGGGCUUGCUUACGGCCCCCGAAUAAAGGGCCGAUGGUUUCUUUCGAUUUGUGAAUACAAACGUCCAAGUGUUGAAACGACGAGGCGUCCAGAGACGCCAGGGAGAGACCCUCCGUUGGAACCGUGUUGUUCGCGCCAUCGGUAGCAUACAUUCGUACACGGAACACCGCCCCGUCUGUAGUACCCUGCCGAGAAACGCACGGAACACGAAGCGGGAACCACAGCUGGAUUUAUCGAGUCGAUUGCUUCCAAGUACGAAGCGAGUUUCGCGCCUAAACCUCACAACUCACCUCGCCUCGCCUCGCCUCGCCUCGCCUCGCCUCGUCUCGUCUCGUUCCACAACGAUCGUUGAACAGAACUCGUAUCGUUAUCAGCGGGAUCGUAAUUCGAAUCGCGAUCGCAACUGCUCUUCCGUUAGCCGUGAAACGGUCGAUACGUUUUCAUCCGUUUUAGAUAUUUUUUCUUUUCUCUUCCGUAUUCCGAGGUUUCCGAAAAAACUUUUCGCAGCUUUCGAGUUUCAUUUUCUUACUGGAAUUGCGCGCGCGCGCGAUAAUAGUCUUUCUUCUAGGACGCGAACAAAUUUGUAAAGAUUUCAGAUUUUUCACCGAUUACCUUUUACCGCCAACCGAACACUCGUAAUCUAUCAUCGAAUCGUGAUCAUCGAUUUUUGUUAUUCUUCCAAGUGUGAUAUUUCGUAUCUCGCGACGUCAUUUUCAAUUCUGAACGAUCGUUCGGUGUGCUUUGUAUUCAGCGUUAGCGUAAACACGUAUUAUUACUAUUAUUAUUCUAUCGUGACUUAGUUACGUUUGAUUUUUGCAAUCUUAUCGUGUAUCAACGAAACAGCCGAUCGAGCAGAACUCCUGGGACAAUCGAUGCGCGGGUUAUAAAUCGUAAAGUCAACGAAAGAUGAAUUCUCUAAGAAAUUCUAUAAAUCUUUGGUUCGCUUUUUCCAAGUCAGCUUUCAGGAGUCCUUCAACGACGAACACCGUUCCGUCGUUGAUAUUUCGAAUGGCGAAAUCAUAGCGACCAUGAAUUCUGUAAAACGUAGCAGUAAGUGUUGUGUACAUAAAAUAAAAAUGCGGUAUAACUAGCCGUUGAGUUGCA